CUUAGUGGCGCACGGGUGAGUAACACGUGGGAACCUGCCUUUCGGUUCGGGAUAACGUCUGGAAACGGACGCUAACACCGGAUACGUCCUUCGGGAGAAAGUUUACGCCGAGAGAGGGGCCCGCGUCCGAUUAGGUAGUUGGUGGGGUAAUGGCCCACCA
rnacentral:rRNA from 1 species